AUUUUAUGAAAAUAUGGAGCAAAUGGGAGAAAAUUGGAGAUGGGGAAAUGGUGGGAUGGUUAAGGACAGGAGAAUGUGCGCCCAGGGGGUGGGGUGUGUAUGGCACAUUCAUUUUAAAUUAAAUUAAAUUGAAAUAUUUGUUUAGCAAAAAUACAACACAAACAUCAGAAAUAACUUAAUGGCUGAAACUGUGCAUAUCACAAAUCAGCACUAAUAGUCAUUUCAAACUACC